rnacentral:rRNA from 1 species
UACGGGGGGGGCAAGCGUUGUUCGGAAUUACUGGGCGUAAAGGGUUAUUAGGUGGCCAACUAAGUCAGACGUGAAAUCCCUCAGCUUAACUGGGGAACUGCGUCUGAGACUGAUUGGCUCGAGGACAGGAGAGGAACGCGGAAUUCCAGGUGUAGCGGUGGAAUGCGUAGAUAUCUGGAGGAACACCGGUGGCGAAGGCGGCUCACUGGACCGGAACUGACGCUGAGGCGCGAAAGCGUGGGGAGCAAACAGG